rnacentral:rRNA from 1 species
AACGAACGCUGGCGGCAUGCCUAACACAUGCAAGUCGAACGAGACCUUCGGGUCUAGUGGCGCACGGGUGCGUAACGCGUGGGAACCUGCCCUUAGGUUCGGAAUAACUCCCCGAAAGGGGUGCUAAUACCGGAUAAUGUCUUCGGACCAAAGAUUUAUCGCCUUUGGAUGGGCCCGCGUUGGAUUAGCUAGUUGGUAGGGUAAAAGCCUACCAAGGCGACGAUCCAUAGCUGGUCUGAGAGGAUGAUCAGUCACACUGGGACUGAGACACGGCCCAGACUCCUACGGGAGGCAGCAGUGGGGAUAUUGGACAAUGGGCGAAAGCCUGAUCCAGCAAUGCCGCGUGAGUGAUGAAGGCCUUAGGGUUGUAAAGCUCUUUUACCCGGGAUGAUAAUGACAGUACCGGGAGAAUAAGCUCCGGCUAACUCUGU